rnacentral:rRNA from 1 species
GACUAACUAGGAUUCCCCCAGUAACUGCGAGUGAAGAGGGAAGAGCUCAUCAUUGGAAUCUGGCAGUGUUACGCUGUCCGAGUUGUAGAUGAGGAGUAGUCCAUCUGGACUGCAUGGCGUCCAAGUACAAUAGGCCGUCAGUGGGACAUCAUAGAGGGUGACAAUCCCGUCCUUGAUGCCAAUGUGCAAGUCCGUUACGAUGGCUAUCUCAGAGAGUCGAGCAGUUUGGGAUUUGCUGCUUAAACAUGGGAGGUAGAUUCCUUCUAAAGCUAAAUACAGGCGAGAGACCGAUAGAGAACAAGUACCGCAAGGGAAAGAUGAAAUAGAACUCUGUGAAGGGAGUCAAAAGGCGUGAAAUUGUUGCGAGAGAAGCGAUUCAAGUCAGCGUAGCUAGGCCCAUCAAGCCUCUUUGUGCUUUGGACUAGCUUUGCCAGCGGUCUUGUCCCUUAGAGACUUGACUUAAUGAUGUCCAGCCUGGUAUGCACAGGUAGCCCCUCCUCCCUCUGGGGGUGGGGCCAGGGACAUGGCGGGGGGAAGGGUUUGCAAUCAACCCCCCUUGAAACCCGGACCAAGGGUUCUACCAGUUUUGCGAGUAUAAGGGGGGCAAACCC